GACGAACGCUGGCGGCGUGCCUAAUACAUGCAAGUAGAACGCACAGUUUAUACCGUAGCUUGCUACACCAUAGACUGUGAGUUGCGAACGGGUGAGUAACGCGUAGGUAACCUGCCUGGUAGCGGGGGAUAACUAUUGGAAACGAUAGCUAAUACCGCAUAAUAUUAAUUAUUGCAUGAUAAUUAAUUGAAAGGUGCAAUUGCACCACUACCAGAUGGACCUGCGUUGUAUUAGCUAGUAGGGGAGGUAACGGCUCACCUAGGCGACGAUACAUAGCCGACCUGAGAGGGUGAUCGGCCACACUGGGACUGAGACACGGCCCAGACUCCUACGGGAGGCAGCAGUAGGGAAUCUUCGGCGAUGGACGAAAGUCUGACCGAGCAACGCCGCGUGAGUGAAGAAGGUUUUCGGAUCGUAAAGCUCUGUUGUAAGAGAAGAACGGGUGUGAGAGUGGAAAGGUCACACUGUGACGGUAUCUUACCAGAAAGGGACGGCUAACUACGU
rnacentral:rRNA from 1 species